CCUAUUCAAGAUCUAAAUUUUAAGAUCUUCCACAGCUUUUCUUAUCUUCCUUCAAUGUGGAGCCAUGGCAAAGAGGUCACAUGGUAACUGCAUGGAAUGUUUGCUCUAGAACAAUACCCUAUUAUGAAAAUUGCUCAGUCUGAUUCAGACAUGAACCAAGCUAUGGCUGUCUUUAUUGAUACCAGCCAUUUAGAAAAAGGUGAGCUAAAUAAGCCUCACUGAGCAGAGCACUCACUGUGGGCUACGGCUGGCAUACAAUAUUGAAUAAUCCCAAGACCUCAUGAGUAUUAUUACUACCAUCCAUAUCUUACCAGAAAGAGACUCCAAACAAGUUCACUAACUUGCCAGGAACGGGCAUUCAAACCCAGUGAGAAACAAGCCCCCAGGAAAGUGAAGAGCUGGGAGGCAACAGACCAGACAUACUAGAGAAAACUGAGGACUGGCUCCCAAAUUCCUCCCACUGACACUCCCUCCCCCAUGGGAAGACUGGGCCUGACUUUGCUGCUGAUGUGCCACAUGAACUUGGGUUUUGGAGCACGUGACCACAAAGGGCCCUUCCAGGGUUAAUCAUGCGACCAUCAUUACCAACAACUACUGAGCACUUAUUACAUACCAGGAACUGCUGGAAGUCAGGCAGUGACAAAUGCCCCUCUCGCUCUGCCAUCCAUUACAAGUUGGAAGGUGCCAUGUUCCAAUUACUAGAGACCCCAGUGGAGCUCAUGGAAAACCCUGCUCCAGGCUGCAGCCAUUACUCAGGCCCGGCAGGGCUGCCAGCAGAGCUGCCCAAGGCCCAGGCCCCACUGGGUAAGAGCAUGGAGUAACAGCAUGUUUCUGACUCCGUAAGCCAGCCCCUUCCAUUCCUUAUUUGUGUUAUCCCUGGCGGGUCUAUCCUAGACACAUUUCCCAACUGAGUAAAAACAUGGGCACCCUGUGGGCUGCCUCAAACUACCCAGGAUCAAGACUGCCUAACACAAACAGAUAUGAGGAACAUAAGGUUAUGCUACCAGGUGGCGUAAGUGGGGAAUAUGAUGCUCAGGAGGAAGGGAAGAGUAUAAACAACCUAUGAUGUUCAGAGAAAGUAGAGACUGGGAUUGGCCCCGUGGCCGAGUGGUUAAGUUCACAUGCUCUGCUGCGGUGGCCCAGGGUUUCACUGGUUCGGAUCCUGG